GAAACUCGAGCUAAUACCGCAUACCCCUUACGAGGGAAAGGCUUCGGCCGCUAUUGGAUGAGCCCGCGUCAGAUUAGCUUGUUGGUGGGGUAAUGGCCUACCAAGGCGACGAUCUGUAGCUGGUCUGAGAGGACGAUCAGCCACACUGGGACUGAGACACGGCCCAGACUCCUACGGGAGGCAGCAGUGGGGAAUAUUGGACAAUGGGGGAAACCCUGAUCCAGCAAUGCCGCGUGUGUGAAGAAGGCCUGCGGGUUGUAAAGCACUUUCAGUAGGGAAGAUAAUGACGGUACCUACAGAAGAAGCACCGGCUAACUCCGUGCCAGCAGCCGCGGUAAUACGGAGGGUGCGAGCGUUAAUCGGAAUUACUGGGCGUAAAGCGCACGUAGGUGGUUUGGUAAGUCGGAUGUGAAAUCCCCGGGCUUAACCUGGGCAUUGCAUUCGAUACUGCCUCACUAGAGUCUAGCAGAGGGAUGCGGAAUUCCGGGUGUAGCGGUGAAAUGCGUAGAGAUCCGGAGGAACAUCAGUGGCGAAGGCGGCAUCCUGGGCUAAGACUGACACUGAGGUGCGAAAGCGUGGGGAGCAAACAG
rnacentral:rRNA from 1 species